rnacentral:lncRNA from 1 species
GAAAAGAAAAUAAGUAUAAAUCUAUAUGGUUUUUUUAAGAAGUCGAUAUUUUUUAGGGUUGGUUAUUGAGGAAGUAUAAAUAGAAGGGAAACAGGAAGACUCUGGGAAAAAAACAAGGAAAAACUUUUAGAGAAGGAGGAAAAGGAAAAGGAAGGAGAGGCUGUGACGUGAAGAAGCUUCAGAGGGGAAGAAAGGACAUGAAGAGGGAGACCUUGAGGCUACGUGAGACAAAGAAGAAAGUUAAAACUCAAAUUGACAAGGGGGAGUUAAUCUGAGUUUAUUUUUAUUAUAAGGUUGCUAUUUGGAAUUUGUAUAUCCAUUGAUUGAGUUCUUUGAAGGAAUUAGAAAUGAUGUAGGCUCUCUUAUAAAAUUUAAGAAUUA